CCCAUUUGAGUAUUCUUCAAUUUCAUUGCUUAUCCUCUGACAGGCACUGUUUUAGGACUGGGAAAUCAAGUUUUAGAAGAAACCCUUAUCAGUUUAACUUCGAUUUUUUAGUUCACAGUUAAUUUCUCACUUCUUAGCAUAGAAUUUAAAUCCUGCAAUUUGGUGUUUGGAUAAUGUGAACUUUUCUAUCCACAAAUUAUUUCUUAUUACCCCUUUUGUUUUUUCUGGUAGAGGCAAUGGAUACACUCCUAGGUUUUUCCUUUUUUUAACUUAUGAUCAAUUCACUGAAGAUAUACUCCAAUUUCUUUUAGGCAAUUGCAGGAGAAGACUGCUA
rnacentral:misc_RNA from 1 species